rnacentral:rRNA from 1 species
GUCAUAUGCUUGUCUCAAAGAUUAAGCCAUGCAUGUCUAAGUAUAAACCGCUUGUGCAGCAAUGUACAAAACGGGUGAAACUGCGAAUGGCUCAUUAAAUCAGCAAUCGUUUAUUUGAUUGUGCGCUUUUGUGGUGUUUGUUUGGUGGGUUCGCCUAUUGAACAAAGUCCGCAAAUGGCUGCAUGGAUAACCGUGGUAAUUCAAGAGCUAAUACAUGAACAAAAAAACAAAGGGUCAACUUUUCGCAAGAGAGGAAGAUCAGCAUUUAUUAGAUACAAACGCAAAACCGGAACUCUGUCGCAAGACAGAUUCUUAAUAAGUUGGCGAUUCAUAAUGACUGCGCGAAUCGCAUGGCACUUACUUUCGGGUAGGAUUUUUAGCUGGCGAUGGAUCAUUCAAAUUUCUGACCCAUCAACUUUCGAUGGUUGGAUCGAGGCCAACCAUGGUGAUGACGGGUAACGGAGAAUUGGGGUUCGAUUCCGGAGAGGGAGCCUGGAGAAACGGCUCCCACUUCCAAGGAAGGCAGCAGGCGCGCAAAUUGCCCAAUCCUGACACAGGGAGGCAGUGACAAGAAAUAACAAUGCAGGACCCUUGAAAUACAGGGACUGCAAUUGGAAUGAGCACAAUUUAAAUCGCUUUCGCGAGGAACAAUUGGAGGGCAAGUCUGGUGCCAGCAGCCGCGGUAAUUCCAGCUCCAAUAGCGUAUGCUAAAAUUGCUGUAGUUGAAAAGCUCGUAGUUGGAUUUCGGAGUAAAAAGGAUGGGAUGAUGAUUUUGCAUAAAAAACAAAGCUGUCGCCUAUCCCUCGGGAUAUCAUUUUGUGCAGGUAAGAAGUGUUCAUCUUUUGAGCAUGAUUAUUGGCGCAAGGGUCCCUUUACUCCUUUUUCUUGGAAGAGAAAAGAGACAAAGAGACAAAUCAUUUCGGUGAUUUUUUCUUUUUUUUUUUUUCAACCAAGAACGUAUCGGCUGGAAGUUCGCAAUAAUUAGAAUUCUUUACUGAAUUCUUUAUUUGUUGCUUGGAAAAUUUUAUUUUUAAGGGUUUACUCUUUGACAUAAGAUUUUUUAUCCAAGUUUGCUUAUUAAAAGGCAUAAAUCCUUUAAUAAGUAGAACUCCAGUCCGUUUACCUUGAGCAAAACAGAGUGUUCAAAGCAGGUUAUUUUAAACUCGGCCGUCAAACGUCGAGGAACGCCUUGCAUGCUUCAGCAUGGGAUAAUGGAACAGGACGUGGUUGGGUCACGUGCAUAUUUCGUUUUGGUUUUCAGCCGUGAGCAAAUUGAAUUUAACAGAUUCACCCAACCGGUGAUGAUUGAUAGGGACAGUCGGGGGCAUUGGUAUUUAAUUGUCAGAGGUGAAAUUCUUGGAUUAAUUAAAGACCGACUUCAGCGAAAGCAUUUGUCAAGGAUGUUUUCAUUUAAUCAAGAACGAAAGUUGGGGGAUCGAAGAUGAUCAGAUACCGUCGUAGUCCCAACCGUAAACGAUGCCGACCAGGGAUCGGGAGUGGAAGUAAUAAAAAGGCGAUAAUAUGGAGUUUAAAAAAAAAAAAAAAAAGGAAGGGAAAGGAUUUUUUUCCUUUUUUUUAUUCUUUUUUUUUUUUAUUUAUUCUUUAUGUGUGUAGCUGAAUCGUCCCUCCCGGCACCUUACUUAUAUUAUCUUUCCGGGAAACCACGAGUYUUUGGGUUCUGGGGGGAGUCUGGUCGCAAGGCUGAAACUUAAAGGAAUUGACGGAAGGGCACCACCAGGAGUGGAGCCUGCGGCUUAAUUUGACUCAACACGGGGAAACUCACCAGGUCCAGACAUAGUGAGGAUUGACAGAUUGAAGCUCUUUCUUGAUUCUAUGGGUGGUGGUGCAUGGCCGUUCUUAGUUGGUGGAGCGAUUUGUCUGGUUAAUUCCGUUAACGAACGAGACCUCGACCUGCUAAAUAGUG